AUGAACAUGGCAGGAAGAAGGGUACUGGUGCGUGCCGUUCUGACGGCGCUGCCAGUGUUUGCAAUGACUGUCCUCAAAGUGCCGAAAAAGAUCCUAAAAGACGUGGACAAAGCAAGGAGGCAGUUUUUAUGGGCUCAUGAUGAGAAUGUCACCGGCGCCAAAUGCAAGGUGGCCUGGGGAAAAGUCUGUCUUCCGGUGGACAAGGGGGGGCUUGGUUUGCUGGACCUACAUCGCUUCAUCAUAGCUCUCCGGCUGCGCUGGUUGUGGCUCUCCUGGCAACAGCCACGCCGGCCUUGGAUGAACUUCCCGGCCCCAUGUGUCAAGGAGGACCUGGAGCUGUUUGCAUCGGCCACCAACGUGCACUUGGGCAACAGAAUAACAACGCUUUUCUGGACUUGCAAAUGGAUCAGGCCAGUGGCACUGCAACACGAGUUCUCUGCCUUGUUUCAGCAUUCCAGAAGGAAAAAUAGGACGGUUCAUGACGCGCUGGCAAAUGACACAUGGGUGCGUGACCUCCGGCAUGGCAACACAACAGAGAUUGCCCACCAGUUUUUGCAAAUGUGGAGGAAAAUUCAGGGCGCAGGCAUCUUUCUUUCCUCCGAUGAGGACACGAUCAGCUGGGCGGCAACCACAGGAGGAGGAAACUACUCGGCAAAGGCUGCUUACGAUCUAUAA
rnacentral:rRNA from 1 species